rnacentral:rRNA from 1 species
CCUACGGGAGGCAGCAGUGGGGGAUAUUGCACAAUGGGGGGAACCCUGAUGCAGCGACGCCGCGUGGGUGAAGAAGCGCCUCGGCGCGUAAAGCCCUGUCAGCAGGGAAGAAAAUGACGGUACCUGUAGAAGAAGCCCCGGCCAACUACGUGCCAGCAGCCGCGGUAAUACGUAGGGGGCAAGCGUUAUCCGGAUUUACUGGGUGUAAUGGGGGCGCAGUCGGCGGUGCAAGCCAGAUGUGAAAGCCCCGGGCUCAACCCCGGGACUGCAUUUGGAACUGUGCUGCUAGAGUGUCGGAGAGGCAGGCGGAAUUCCUGGUGUAGCGGUGAAAUGCGUAGAUAUUAGGAGGAACACCAGUGGCGAAGGCGGCCUGCUGGACGAUGACUGACGUUGAGGCUCGAAAGCGUGGGGAGCAAACAGGAUUAGAUACCCGGGUAGUC